GUCCCCGUAGCUUAGCGGUCAGCGUUUGGUGACUUUUCUCCUCAGCGUUUGUUUUCCCAGCGAAUAGAGUUAAGGCAGCGAAAGAUAUCGGUUCGAAUCCGAUCGGGGACA